UUGUGAGCAAUUCAUGAAGAAAACUUCCUAAUCCGGAAUAUGUAAUUCAUUUAUUUAUUAACUGAUAUUCUAAUGGACCAUGUAAUCAUUUCUCAGUGACUUCCUUAUCACGAAGAAUGGCACUUGAGUUGUGCAUAAAACGGUUGUAAAGAACAUAGCGCUUAUACUCAUUGUCAACAUUGAUUUCGAAGCUAUUGUUUGAAACUGAAUUAUAACGAUGAUGCGUUACCUGAUGUGCAUGUUAGUCGUAACGUUGCUGCUAAGUCAAGUGGCCGACGGGAAUGCAGCCAGGCUAUGUGGGAGGCGACGUUGUCCACCUGGUUUCCGGUGUGUUCGCUAUGGCAGCGUAGGCAGGUGUGAUGGUGGGAAACAGUUCAUGCACCCGGGAAAUACGGGAAAUGCGGACGGUUCUGGAAAUUAAUUAACGGUGUGCGUUUCAAACAAAUGGAGUUUCCAUCGGAUGACCCUUACAUCGGUUAUGAUAACUAUAAAACUUUGUCUGGACAUUUAAGAAAUAUGUUGUUAUUACGCAUAUGUUUAUUUUAGUUUUAGAUGUUGUGUGUAAACAGUUUUCAAUUGGAAGAAAUGUAGACAUUAAAGAGAAUGAGAGCUGAUUUAUUGUGUAGACUAUUGCCUUGACCUUUUUAUUAUAUAUAUAAAAAAUAACCGAUCAUAUUGUUACAUGCAUAUGUAAUAAAUGUUGGUGUAGCAAGAUAUUUAUAUCAGAAGAAAGUUAUUCUUCGUCA